CUACGAGUGCCCCGAGCGUUAUCCGGAAUCAUUGGGCGUAAAGGGUCCGCAGGCGGUCCCGUUAGUCUUUUGUUAAAUCUCUCGGCUUAACCGAGAAUCCGCAAAAGAAACGGCGGGACUAGAGGAUGUGAGAGGUGCACGGAACUCAUAGUGUAGGGGUGAAAUCCGUUGAUAUUAUGGGGAACACCGAAAGCGAAGGCAGUGCACUGGCACACUCCUGACGCUCAGGGACGAAAGCGUGGGUAGCGAAUGGGAUUAGAAACCCUAGUAGUCC
rnacentral:rRNA from 1 species